rnacentral:lncRNA from 1 species
AUGGAUUCAAACAACCUUUCAAACACUCAGUACUUCACAUCAUUUAGUGACAAAGUACAGCUCCAGGCCACACAUAAAAUCGCUACAGUCAUGUCAUGGAUCCAGUUCAAAAUAGGUACAUUAGACUACUGGACCCAGUCAGAAUAUACAGUAAAAUUGUGGACUAUUUUUGAAACUGGUACAAUAAGACCAUGGAGCCAAAGUGAAACAAACACAGUCAAGCCCUGGACCCAACCUAAAACUAGUACAAUCAGAGCAUUGACACAGGCUGAAUCUCAACAAGUUAGGUACUUGUCUUUGCCAGUACCUGAAACAGUGACACUAUUGUCACAAGCUGAAAUGGAAGCAGCAAAACACUUGACCAUGUCUGAUAUGAAUACUGUUGCACCAUGGUCCCUAACUCAGAAUGAUACAAUAAAGCAAAUGACUCAAAUUGAAUCUAAAAAUGUUCUUUCUUGGUUUCAGCCAGAAAGGACAAUAGCCCAUCCCUGGAUCCACCUUGAAACUAAUGUAGUCAGACCUGGAUACAAUUCUGAAGGCAAUGCUGUCCAAACAAGAAUCACUACUGAAACCAAUACAGUCAGAUUCUGGACCUCUUCUGAAAUAAAACUUUGGACCCAGUCUGAAUCUCAAGCAGUAAGUAUGUGGCCUGAAGAUAGCAGAGCCACACUUUGGUCUCUAACUCAGAAUGAUACAAUUACAUCUUGGUUCCAAUUAGAAUCUCAAAGGAUACUUUCUUGGGCCCAGUUUGAAGGUGGUAUAACCAACCCUUGGACUCAGCAGGAAACUGCUACAACUAAACUAUGGACCCAAUUUGGAACUUUAAAAAUUCUUUCCUGGACCCCACCUGAUACAAUAAUAUACUGGUUCCAUACUCAAAUAGAUUCAAUCACACCCAUGAGCCAGCCUCAAACUCAAAAAUUCCAAAGUUGGAUGCAGACUAUAACUCAAGUACGAAAAAUUUCACCUGUGACUGAAGUUGAUACAGUAAUACCUUGGUUACAGUUUCAAAGUAACACAGUUAGAUCCUGGAUUCAACUUUAUUCCCAAACAGUGAGUCUUGGGACCCAUACUGAAGUUGGUAUAAUUGGGCACUGGACUCAGAAAAGAAUUGCUACAGAUAACCUUGGGACCAACUCUGAAACUCAAGCAACCAGACCCUGGGACAAGCAGGAAGCUAACACAGUCAGAACUAGGUUCUACCUUCAAGGAAAAACUGUCAGACUGCAGACUUAUUCAGAAUUCGGUACGUUCAGUACUUUCAUCCGAUCUGAAAUUGGCACAAUUCAUCAUGAUUCUUUUAUGAUCCAGUCAAAAACCCAAGAAGUCAGACCCUGGACCCAGUCUGAAAUUGUUAUGACUAGAUACUGGGUUUUGUCUCAAGUAGUUAAACCACAGACAAUGCUAAAAGGAGGAGCAUUUACACCCUGGAUCCAGUCUGAAACUCAACCAGCCACACCAUGGACCAAGCCUCAAGUUAAUAUAACAUUCUUUUCUAUUCCUGUAUCUGAUAAAUUCAGAACCUGGAUCCAACCUAAAACAAAACUACUGCAUUACAAAGCUGACAUAAUUGUAUCACUGAUUUCUCCUGAGACUGGAACAACUGGAAAAACUCUGCUAAUUGAUCAUUUGGAUAACAAGUCUAAGCUUGUCACAUUUUUACCUGUUGAGACUAUUUCUACCGCACAUCAGUAUUUUAUAACUUUGUCAACAGAGAUAAGUACCAUAGAAAGAAAAAUUAAAAGCAGUUAUCUCCAGCCAAGCCAGCUCACAAGCAUUUUCCUUCUUACCCUGUCAAGCAAGUGGUUUCCUAGUAUAAUUGGUCACAAGAACUUUGGCAGCAUAUUAGAAAUUAUUGACACAAAAGGAAGCCUUGAUGUCCUUUCUGUCUCUCUUAGUUAUCUUUCCCCAGGCUUUUCCUUCCUUGUUUCUUGUUCUCUUACAUAUCCAUGUACAUUGUUCCCUUCCUGUUUAGUCUUUUCUUCUUGUCCUUAUCUUUCACACUGUGUUUUCCCAUCUUGCUUCAACUUUUCUUCUCUGGCCUUCUCUCCUGUGCUUUUGCCCUCAACCUCUUCUGAUAAUCAGCUCCAGGAACUGUCUUUCUCAAAGUUUAUUGAAGAUACUAUUUUUUCUCACACUUUCUCAUCCCUGCAUGCUCCUCCAGCAAUAAGUUUAACAAAAGAGUUUCCCCUGAUGCCUGGAUCUCUAUCUGGACCCAACUAUAAGCAUCAGUCUGGACAACAGCCUCUCAAUGUUUCCCUGGCUGAGUGUCGCCUAGAUAUGAUUUGGAAAGACAAUCUCCAGGCUCUCUGGCUCUUCAAGACAGCUGCUGUUUCUCACGAGACCACAGGCAAGUUAAAUAUAGUCAUCUGUUUGACUUACUACCUUAGAUAA